AGGGUCAUGUAGUCUGCAUACCUUUUCCCUUUCAAAGCCACAUUAAGGCAAUGCUCAAGAUGGCAAAGCUACUAUACAGCAAAGGCAUUUCCAUUACAUUUGUGAAUACCGACUACAAUCACAAACGCUUCCUUAAAUCAGGAGGUGCUCAGGCUCUUGAUGGCCUGCCUGGUUUUAAGUUUGAGUCGAUUCCCGAUGGCCUGCAUUCAUCUGAUUCUGAUGUCACGCAAGAUAUAACUGCCCUUUGUCAUUCCAUCUUGGAAGAAAUGCCGCGUCCCUUUCAGAACCUCCUCACAAAACUUAAUACCGGAACCCACCAGGUCACUUCCAUCCUCUCUGAUGGCUUCAUGCCAUUUACAGCUGAUGCGGCACAUUCCCACGGAGUUCCUGCAAUUUUGUUUUGGCCAUUUGCUGCUUGUGGAUUCAUGGGAUUUUAUCAGUUCAAAAAUGCCCGUGAAAGAGGCCUUGUACCAUUUAAAGGUAAUAAAAUUUAAGUCCAGCUUCAACAUUUUUAGAAUUAUUAAUCAAGAUAAUAAUUUACUGGUUCGGUUACUUCUGUAGUGGAUGGUACAGGAACUCCUAGCUGUUUCUUGUUUUAAAUGUCAUCAAAUUUUAACAAACACAAUUCUAAUACUGCAGAUGAAAGCUAUCUUACGAAUGGGUAUUUGGACACCAUUGUAGACUGGAUCCCAGGAAUGGGAAAUAUUCGUUUGGGGGAUCUCCCAACUCAGAUCAGAAUCAUGGAUUCAGAUGAUUUUUUAUUUAACUUCGCAGUGGAAUGCAGUAAGAGAGCAGAUAAUGCUACUGCACAUGUAAUUCAUACUUUCGAUGACAUUGAGCUAAAACUUCUGAAUGCCAUCUCAUCUAUGUUUAAGGGUGUCCACACAAUAGGCCCCCAACAGUUGCUUCUCAACCAAAUACCGACAGAUCAGGAAGAGAGUCUCAGGAGCAUUGGAUACAGUCUUUGGGAAGAGGAGAAGACAUGUCUCCGAUGGUUGGACUCUAAAGAAGCUGAUUCUGUAGUCUACGUGAACUUUGGAAGCGUAACAGUCAUGUCUCCGGAGCAAUUGAUGGAGUUUGGCUGGGGGCUAGCUAACAGCAACUGCGCCUUCUUAUGGAUAAUUAGGCCAGAUUUGAUCAUGGGUGAAUCCAACAUUACUUUGGGAGCUGAAUUCAUGGACGCUAUCAGGAACAGGGGCCUCAUUGCAAGCUGGUGUCCCCAAGAGGAUGUUCUGAACCACGUCUCGGUGGGAGGGUUUUUGACACAUGGAGGGUGGAACUCAAUCAUUGAGAGCAUAUGUGCUGGAGUGCCCAUGCUCUGUUGGCCUUUCUUCGGUGAACAAACAACAAACUGUAAGUACAUGUGCAACGAAUGGGAGUGCGGAAUGGAGAUUCAUCAUGAUGUCAACAGAGAUGAUGUCGAGAAGCUUGUUAGACUAUUGAUGGAUGGAGUGGAGGGUAAGAAAAUGAGAAACAAAACCAUGCAGUGGAAAAAAAUGGCAGAAAAGGCCUGUCAGCCUGAUGGCUCAUCUUCCCUAAAUUUGGACAAACUGGUUCUUCUCUUGAAAAACUAAAACACUAGAUUUCCGGUUACCUUUUCCAAACUUUGUGAGCUUUUGCUUGCUUCUAGCUUUAUCAGGUCUCAGCAUUUUAUUUCUUGUCAUGCUUAAAUUAUGCAGCUCCUCUGUUACUGUCCUAAAUGUUCAUUGUAAAAUUUUAUCAAAGGACAAUGCUGGUUUCUAUACAAGUAGCCAGUAUCCGUAGAUGAAAUAAUGCCAGUGGAGCACGAUUAUCAUCUAUACAAUUGCAAAGAAAUGCUACCUGUAUGAACUGUAGAUUGCAUAUAGCUACCAUAUUAAAUGACCAUCUUCCAUAAUCCAUCUCUAUCAAAUCGUUAAAUCGUUUUUCCUAUUUAUUUUUUGUUUCUCUUACAGGAAGGAUGUUGUAAGCCACCAACACAGUCUGGCUACAGUGUGUGAAUCCAACAUAGUGGAUCACUCCUAUAACAAUGCUGCGGAAAUGAUUGAUCAUAUUAAUGAAUACAUUUAUAACAUUUUGAUGUAAAAAUAAUCAUAAAAAAUUAAUGAUCAUAUGGAUUUUAUUUUUAUUUUUGGCAAAAUUGAUCAUAUGGAUUAGGUAAGAAUGAUUGAUCAAAAUAAUAUAUUUACUAUGGAUUAGGUAAAAUGAUUGAUCAUAUGAAAAUGAUUGAUCAUACUAAUUAAUAUAUUUAUAGUAUUUUAAAAUUUAUAUUUGUAAAACUUAUGUGAUUUAAUGAAUUGAUUAUAAUAAUCAAGUUUAAAUAUAUAAUUUUUUUAAUAACUCAUAUAGUAUUCAAUAAAUUAACUAGUGCGAUGAGAUUUGCUAUCAUUUUAGUCGAAGAUUUCCGAUAAUCAAAAUAUUAUAAUUUAUACAAAGUAUAUAUAGUUUUUUAGAGCAUCCCAUCACAUAAAAUCAUUAUUUAAAUAUUACAUAUAAAAAUCAUAGAGAUUGUCUAGAAAAAUUUGAACAUUUAACAAGCUUUCACAUCAUUUUUUUUAAAUAAUAAAUAUUUUUGCUAGUAAAUCGACAAAUUGUGUCCACAUUUUUGCUGUCGGUAGAGAGGUUCACUAUAUGCACUAAAUUAUUGAAUUUGGACAAACAUCAUUUAUAUUAUUGUUCUUUUGACAUCGACUAGUACUCAUUACUGAUUCACAUAUAAAACACCUUGAAAUUUAUAGUGCAUUUAUUGGAAAAUGUGUGGCUAUGUUUUGAAAAUCAUCAAUUAAAAAACCCUUGUUCUCUAUUAAAAUAAGAAUUGUUUUAACAUUUUUACACAUAAUUUCUGAUUAAAAAAGACAUGUUUUUACAUUAUUUUUCAAAACUUUUUUCUAAGCAAAAAUAUAAAUAUUAAGUAUGAUUUUUUACAUAUCAAAUUUAAUGUAAAAUGUCAAAACCGCUAAUAAUAAGACCCAGAGAGUAUAUGAUGCUACUAUUAUAAAUAAUUAAUGAUAAAAUAAGUCUUUGUUUCACGUAAUUUCACAAACAGUAAAAAUUAUUCUCUCUCAAAAAUUAUAAAUAAUUAAUGAUAAAAUAAUUAUUUGUAUUGUGCCAAUAGCUGAGCACAUGCACCAUGAACUCUUUUUAGAUCCCUUCACUGGCACCUGCUGUCCACAGAUGUCGUCUCAAGAUGUCGUCUCAAGAUAAAACCCACAAAUCUACAUCUAGUUUAUUUGUAUUUUAAGCACCAAUCACUUGUAUUUACUUGCUUCAAGAUAUCAGUGACCAGUAAGUAAUAUAUAAAAAGCAAGAAAAAGCUUUUGUCAAGUGCACUUGCUGUUUGCGUAACAAAAAGAGGCAUGGAUACCUUAGAAACAACAGCAAAGAAGCAGGGCCAUGUAGUUUGCAUACCUUUUCCCAUUCAAAGCCACAUUAAGGCAAUGCUCAAGAUGGCAAAGCUACUUUAUAGCAAAGGCAUUUUUGUUACAUUUGUGAAUACAGAGUACAAUCACAAGCGCUUCCUUAAAUCAGGAGGUGCUCAGGCUCUUGAUGGCUUGCCUGGUUUUAAUUUUGAAUCAAUUCCAGAUGGCCUGCCGCCUUUGUCCGAUUCUGACGCCACGCAAGACAUACCUGCACUUUGUCAUUCCGUCUUAGAGAAAGAAAUGUUGCUUCCUUUUCAGAACCUCCUCGCACAACUCAAUACCGGAACAAACCAGGUCACUUCCAUCCUCUCUGAUGGCUUCAUGCCAUUUGCAGCUGACGCGGCACAUUCCCAUGAAGUUCCUAUAAUUUUGCUUUGGACAGUUGCUGCUUGUGGAUUCAUGGGAUUUUUUCAGUUCAAAAAUGCCCUUGAAAGAGGCCUUGUACCAUUCAAAGGUGAGAAAAUUUAAAUCCAGCAUCAACAUUGUUAGAAUUAUCAAUAAAAUUAUUAAAGAUAGUCUAGGUAGUCUGAUAAUUUAUUUGUUUUGCGAAAAUUAUCUGUUGCGUGGAUUGUACAAGAAUACCUGGCCCUUUCUUGUUUUCAUGUCAAUAAAUCUUAACAAACACAAUUUGAAUACUGCAGAUGACAGCUAUUUAACAAAUGGUUAUUUGGACACCAUUAUAGACUGGAUCCCUGGAAUGGGUGAGAUUCGCUUUGGGGAUCUCCCAAGCCAUAUCAGAAUCAAUGAUCCAGAUGAAAUAGUAUUCAAGUUCAUAAUGGAAUCUACUCAGAGCGCAACUAAUGCUACAGGACAUGUAUUUCAUACUUUUGAUGAUUUGGAGCUAAAAGUUGUGAAUGCCAUCUCAUCUAUGUUUAAGGGUGUCCACACAAUAGGCCCCCAACAGUUGCUUCUGAACCAAAUACCGACAGAUCAGGAAGAGAGUCUCAGGAGCAUUGGAUACAGUCUUUGGGAAGAGGACAAGACAUGUCUCGAAUGGUUGGACUCUAAAGAAGCUGAUUCUGUAGUUUACAUAAACUUUGGAAGCAUAACAGUCUUGUCCCCGGAGCAAUUGAUGGAGUUUGGCUGGGGGCUAGCUAACAGCAACUGCUCCUUCUUAUGGAUAAUUAGGCCAGAUUUGAUCGUGGGUGAAUCUGACAUUACUCUUGGAAAUGAAUUCAUGGACGCUAUCAAGAACAGGGGCCUCAUUGCAAGCUGGUGUCCCCAAGAGGAUGUUCUGAACCACGUAUCCGUGGGAGGGUUUUUGACACAUGGAGGGUGGAACUCAAUCAUUGAGAGCAUAUCUGCUGGAGUGCCCAUGCUCUGUUGGCCUUUCUUCGGUGAUCAAACAACAAACUGUAAGUACAUGUGCCACGAAUGGGAGUGCGGAAUGGAGAUUCGUAAUGAUGUUAACAGAGAUGAUGUGGAGAAGCUUGUUAGGCUAUUGAUGGACGGAGUGGAGGGUAAGAAAAUGAGAAACAAAACCAUGCAGUGGAAAAAAAUGGCAGAAAAGGCCUGUCAGCCUGAUGGCUCAUCUUCCCUUAAUUUGGACAAACUGGUUCUUCUAUUGAAAAACUAAAACACUAGAUUUCCAGUUACCUUUUCCAAACUUUGUGAGCUUUUGCUUGCUUCUAGCUUUAUCAGGUCUCAGCAUUUUAUUUCCUGUCAUGCUUAAAUUAUGCAGCUCCUCUAUUACUGUCCUAAAUGUUCAUUGUAAAAUUUUAUCAAAGGACAAUGCUGGUUUCGAUACAAGUAGCCAGUAUUCGUAGAUGAAAUAAUGCCAGUGGAGCACGAUUAUCAUCUAUACAAUUGCAAAGAAAUGCUACCUGUAUGAACUGUAGUUUGCAUAUAGCUACCAUAUUAAAUAACCAUCUUCCAUCUCCAUCAUACCGUUAAAAUGUUUUGCCCAGUUCUACAUUGGUUUUAUUAAUUCUAUUUGUGAAGAUCGGUUUCUUAUAAGCUACAAGGUAAACGUGCAACAAGCUAUACCUGACUGGAAGACAUCGUCAAGUAGGUACUUCUUCACUACACAUUUUUUUUCCUAUUUAUUUUUUGUUUCUCUUACAGUAAAGAUGCUGUAAGCCAACAUACUGGAUCAGUCUUAUGAGAACGCCGCGGAAAUGAUUGAUCAUAUUAAUUAAUAUAUUUAUAAGAUUUUGAUGUAAAACUAAUCAUAAAAAUGAUUGAUCAUAUGGAUUAGGUAAGAAUGAUUGAUCAAAAUAAUAUAUUUACCAUGGAUUAGGUAAAAUGAUUGAUCAUAUUAAUUAAUAUAUUUAGAGGUCGAUUGGUUUAAUUCCUGAAAACACAGUAUUAUAUAAUUUCAAAAGAGUUAAUGAUAUUUAUGUUUAUAAUAAUAUAUUUUAUUUUUAUUUUUAAUAAUUAAUAUAAUUUAUUAUUUAAAAAUAUUAUUAUUUUAAAUAAUUUGACUUGUACAUUGUAUUAAAAUAAUUUUAAUUUAUAAAAACUAAAUUAAAAUUUAUUUUUGAUUUUCAAAAAAAUAUUUACAUAAGGCCUUUGUUUUUAAUGAUUUUUGAAAUAUAUUAUUAAUGAAAAUGAAAAAAAUGAAUAAGUAAAGGGAUUAGGUAAACAUAAAAUUAAAAAUGGAAAGACAAUGACAAUUUUUAUAAAACAAACACUAACAAAGGGAAUUAAAUUUAUUGUUUCUCUUUCCUUUUGUUAGUUACCUUUAUACAAACGAUCCUUUAUACUAUUUUAAAAUUUGUAUUUGUAAAACUUCUGUAAUUUAAUGAAUUGAUUAUAAUAAUCAAGUUUAAAUAUGUAAUUUUGUUAAUAAUUGAUAUAGUAUUCGAUAAAUUAACUAGUGCGAUGAGAUUUGCUAGCAUUUUAGUCGAGGAUCCCAAUAAUCAAAAUAUGUUAUAUUAUAAUUUAUACGAAGUACAUAUAAUUUUUUUUGAGCAUCCCAUCACAUAAAAUCAUUAGCUAAAUAUUUUAUAUAUAGAAAUUAUAGGAAUUGUCUAGAAAAAUUUGAUCUGGAUGGGACAAAAUUAUUGUAUACUCCCCCGUCCCUGAGUAGUAUACAUUGGGGGAAGGGGACGCGGCACGGACUUUAAUGCUCCUGUAAAAUGUAGUUAUGUAAUUUAUUUUUAAAAUUUUCUUUUUCUGAAUUAAAGUUUGGAUGUUAUAUUUUUAUUCAGAAAAAGAAAAUCUCAAAAAUAAGUCACGGAACUAUGUUUUUAUAAGAGCAUUGAAAUGCGUGUCGAGCAAUUGAAAAGAAACGUAUACAAUUAAAUGGGAUAGAGGGAGUAUAAUUUUAAUCCAGAUUAGCUGUACAGACGUAUAAAUAUAUGUUACAAGAUUUCACAUCAUUUAUUAUAAUAUUUAAAUAGAAGAUAUUUUAUUUACAACAACUUGAAAUAAUAAUAAUAUAUCAUUUUUAAAUAUAUACGACCCAUAUAGUAGUAUCAUGAAGCAAAUGUUUUAUAAUUGACGGAGUAUAAUAUUUUGGAGUAUAAUAUUUUACUUGUUCAAUCUAAUAAAUUAUUUUUAAGACAAUAUUAUCGGAGAUGCUCCGGAUAAGAUUGUAGAAUAAUUCAAACAUUCAUUGCUUUCGAUUAAUAGGGUCUGUAGUGUGCCAUAUUGAGUCGAUUUAGUAAAUGCUGAUGAAUUUCGUCCACAUAUCUGUUGUCGGUAGAGGUUCACUGUGUGCUCUAAAUUAUUGAAUUUGGACAAACAGUAUUCAUAUCAUUAUUCUUACUAUUAUUCUUUUGACAUCGUCUAAUAGUCGUUACUGAAUUCACAUACAAAAAACACUCUGAAAUUUAUAGUGCGUUUCUUGAAAAAAUUGUGGCUAUUUUUUGAAUAUCAAAUUACAAACUCUUACUCCUUCCAUAUUAAAAUAAGAGUCUUUUUGACUUUUUACAUAUAAUUUGAAGUAGAAAAGACAUGUUUCUAAAUAUUAUUCUUCAAAAUUUUUUAAAAAGAUUGUAAAUAUUAAACUUUUAUUUAGGUAGAAGAAAAUUUUAAAAAUAAUAUGUACGAUAAUGUUUUUUUAUAUCAAAACAGAUAAAAGAAGUAUAUAUGCUAAUAUUAUUAAAAAUAAUUAAUGAUUUAUAAAUCUUUGUUUCAUGAUGUAAGUUCACAGGGUAAACAGUAAAAAUUAUUCUCUCUCAAGAAUCAGGUCAACGAGUGCUUAUAAUUUAAAUCUACUAUUGUAUUUGUAUUGUGCCAAUAGUCUUCAUGUAUAAGGGUAACCAAAUUUGGGCGGGAGUAUUGUAAUCAACUACUCCAUGUAUAUGACUUUCAUUUAUUUUUUUUAGUGUUGUGAUCGGAUAAUUAAAAAUAUUAUUUUUUAAAUUUUUUUUUCUAAAUAAAAAUAUGUAAUAAAAAAUUAAAUUCAUAAAAAGAUAAAUUAAAAAUAACAUUUUUUACUAGCCGGUUACGGUGCCCAAGUCAAAGUGACAUAUAAAAAAACAUAGUUUCGGGUUCCAUUUCCUACCUGAAAAAUAACGGUGAUGGUGGUAGAAUGUGCAAAAUAGCAAUUAACCGAGAUGCUCGAAAACUGACCAUGCACCAGCACAUGCUCUUUUUACUAGAUCCCCUCAAAGAUCUAGUUUAUCUGUAUUUUGUUCGGGCAUUUUAAGCACCAAUCAUUUGUACUAGUAUUUAUUUGCUUCAAGAUAUCAGUGAGUAAUACUAUAUAAAAAGCAAGAAAAAGCUUUUGCCAAGUGCACUUGCUGUCUGCGUAACAAAAAGAGGCAUGGAUACCUUAGAAACAACAGCAAACAAGCAGGGCCAUGUAGUUUGCAUACCUUUUCCCUGUCAAAGCCACAUUAAGGCAAUGCUCAAGAUGGCAAAGCUCCUAUAUAGCAAAGGCAUUUUCGUUACAUUUGUGAAUACCGACUACAAUCAUAAGCGCUUCCUCAAAUCAGGAGGUGCUCAGGCUCUUGAUGGCCUGCCUGGUUUUAAUUUUGAAUCAAUUCCCGAUGGCCUGCAUUCAUCUGAUUCUGAUGUCACGCAAGAUAUAACUGCCCUUUGUCAUUCCAUCUUUGAGAAAGAAAUGUUGCUUCCUUUUAAGAACCUCCUCACACAACUUAAUACCGGAACAAACCAGGUCACUUCCAUCCUCUCCGAUGGCUUCAUGCCAUUUGCAGCUGAUGCGGCACAUUCCCAUGAAGUUCCUAUAAUUUUGUUUUGGACAGUUGCUGCUUGUG
rnacentral:lncRNA from 1 species